AAGCAACUUCCAACACUUUAUGUUCAAAGUUAAAAAAGAAAAAAAAAAGAAAAUGGUACACAAACAACGAAUAGUUUAUGCCCCGGUAGUGACAUUGGAUUAAAGGCAGCCUCACAUAUAAGUUCUUUUUUGGUACAUUCAACUUUCAGUGAAAUUGUUUGGUCCACUUUAAUGGGGCAUACGCUGCAUUUGCUUCCCUGGCAUGCAGAGAAGAUGCUGUUGAUUUACAUUCCAACCAGUCCUUUCCCCAGCAUAAUUUGCAGAAGUGGGCACAUUUUUUAAAAAAAUAAAUAAAUAAUAAUUGUAAACCAGAUCUUACCUCAAACAAAAUUCAAUCCCCAGGUUUCUUCUAGCACCCUAAGAUUUAUAAUAAAAACACUCUGGUAGCUUCACUGCCAACACUUUCUUUGGAAAAUAGCAGAACAGGGUGCCAGAGAUUUGAUUUCUAUGUGUAGAAGUGUGAGACACCAUCUAUCUUCACUGCUCAGACUAACACAGCCAAGAGCUGGUUUUGCGUCCCAAUUUAUUAUAUGCAGCUGUGUAAACUUACUGCCUGGCAACACUAAAGCCAGCCAGCUCGGCCAGCUGCAAUGGCAAGUGCAAUUUGAACUAUGUUUUAUAAUAAACAAACCAGAUCAGACUUUCCAGGGGUCUAGUUCAUAAACAAAAUGUCAAUGUGUUGUCAGCACCAUCACUGCAACCAUUAUGGUGGUAGAACCAUCAUACAAUUGCAGAAAGGAAAUACAAAAGACUGAAAUAGACAAGAUUCCAAUGGAAAAGGAACAUAAAGGAACAUCUACACCACCAAUUUCAGAAAAAUAAGGGUAUAUGAUAU
rnacentral:lncRNA from 1 species